rnacentral:lncRNA from 1 species
UAUCCGAGCUCCGUUUCAGAUGAUCUUGUUCUCGUUGUACUCCAUUUUUCACCGCGAACCUCGCUGUGGGCUCAAUAUGGGCUGAAUCUCGAGGCAUCAAAUCCUAACAUAACUAUCCACGCAAAGAUGAAGAUGAGAUCUUCAUAUUUUUGUUUGAUAAUUUUAUUUGCUACCUUAGAUCCUAAGAGCAUAAUAGGGUUGAUCUCAUGAGAUGAGAUCUAGUAGAUGAAUGUUAGAUUAAUUUACUUCCGCUGCAUGUAUAAAAAUUUUUGUUAUUCUAGCAUAUAUACCCUGCACC